AGAGCGAACGCUGGCGGCAUGCUUAACACAUGCAAGUCGCACGGUCAGCAAUGGCAGUGGCGGACGGGUGAGUAACGCGUAGGUAUCUAUCCACGGGUGGGGGACAACGUCGGGAAACUGACGCUAAUACCGCAUGAUACCCGAGGGUCAAAGGCGCAAGUCGCCUGUGGAGGAGCCUGCGUACGAUUAGCUUGUUGGUGGGGUAAAGGCCUACCAAGGCGACGAUCGUUAGCUGGUCUGAGAGGAUGAUCAGCCACAUUGGGACUGAGACACGGCCCAAACUCCUACGGGAGGCAGCAGUGGGGAAUAUUGGACAAUGGGCGCAAGCCUGAUCCAGCAAUGCCGCGUGUGUGAAGAAGGUCUUCGGAUUGUAAAGCACUUUCGGCGGGGACGAUGAUGACGGUACCCGCAGAAGAAGCCCCGGCUAACUUCGUGCCAGCAGCCGC
rnacentral:rRNA from 1 species